rnacentral:lncRNA from 1 species
GUACUCUCUGUGGCAUGAUAUCACGCAGCUUGCACUUGGGUAAGGACCUUUCUGAUGUCACCGGGUGAGGGAUUAAGUCAUAAUUAUGUAGAUCUAAAUUACCUUCCAGCAAACCCACUGGCGGUUCUUCAUUAACAUCACAGCAGGCUUUAAUUCCAGCAGAAGACUGAUCACCCUUCAGCUGCCCGACAUCCAGCCUGAAGAAUAUGUUUGGAAUUAAGCAGGGAUCUUGGUUGAAAAGAACAUCACACCAUCACCACCACCACCACAAACAGCAGCAAAACCCCGAAGGCUAAGGCAACAUGUUGAGCCAAGAUACACCAGAUUCUAGAACCUGAGCAUUUAGCUUCAACCUCUUGGGGUUAUCUCCAGCCUCCAACUGGUGGGGGGUCAGCCCCUGAACCAAA